AAGCAAUUAAUUCAAUGGUUAGAAUGUCUCGCUUACAACGAGGAGGUUAGUGGUUCGAAUCCAUUAUUGCUUA
rnacentral:tRNA from 1 species